UGCCAUAAGGCCUGGCUUUGGCCCCCAUGCAGCACACCUCUGCCCUCCUAUGUUUCAGCUCUUCAGUCCUUUAAAGUAUCUUUUCCCAUAGAUGUAGAAUUCAUGAAGCUUCCUGAAAUAUAUCCCAGUUUGUACAUCCACUUCCACAGAACUCCAAGAGCAGCACAACCGUUUUAAUCCAAGCACUCCUA